rnacentral:misc_RNA from 1 species
CACGAAAUUCAGUCAGGCCGUCAAUUGGCCUGGUGGUGGGGGAUGGGUGGCGUGCCUUCGGGCUCGCUCCCACCCCUGAAAGCCAAUGGUGGAAUGGACCGAGUGCCCCGGCGUGAUAACAACGUUUCGCUAGGCGUCUCAGUCGCACUCUCCCCGCAAAAGCGAGACAAAG